UAAACCAGGCUGGUGAUUUCAAAUGAGUUAGUCCUUGUCAAGCAGUUAACUAGCGGCCAGCCCUCAGUAAGUAUUUUCAUUUCCAACGUGUGAGCUAUUUUCUGUAAAGAUCUGUUGAUGAAGUCCAAGGGGGAAAUGACUUUGUCCUGUGGAGUGGCUGGAGAGGAGUGGGGAGGAGGGAGAGGAAAGGAUAAGACAGUGGAGGGGUCAUAGCUUGGAUCUAGGAUGUCCCCUAAAGGCCCAUGUGUGGAAGGCUUGGGGCCCAGCUCGGCCCUGUUGGGAGGGGGUGACCUUUAGGAGGAGGGCCCUAGCGGGAGGAAGUGAGGUCACAGGGGCGUGGCUUGGAGCGGAUAUGAAGACUGUGGGAACCUCCGGCCUCUCUUUCUCGGUUUCCUGGCUGCCCCUAGGCUGUGGGCCGCCUCCUCUGGCGCAUAUUCCCACGGAAGCAGACUGUGCCACCCCGAGGGCCCUGAGCCAGUGCAAGCCUCUCCUGCUUUCAGUUACGAGCCCAGGUGUCAGGAGAAUGCUAAACUAUAAGGAAGAAUGAGAAAAAGACAUGGAAACUGAGUCAGAUAUUGAAGCAAAUUAAAAGAAGUCACUCCACAGAGCUCUACUGUAAAAUAGAUCGGAGAUAAAGACUCAACCUGGUUUUCCAAGAUGAUGACAGUGGAUUAGAGACACACAUAAUCAGGAGGAGGCCACCCCAGCUGACUAACUUGCAGAUUUGAAGAUAUAAUGGCACCGCCUCCAGUCUCUGAUGACUUAAAUGAAUCUCACCUUCUGAUGACUGAAGGAAAAUGUGUUCCUGAGUGCGAAGAAUGGUCCAAUUUUCAUUACCUCCCAGAGGCAGAGCCUGCGAAGACGCUGAGCUGGGCUGCACAAUUCACCGACAGAGCAGAGCUUUCAGGGGCUCCACGGCACCCGUCCUCACCUAGGAAAAGCCCUGCACUCAGCCCAUGCUCGGAGUCACGCUCCGCCGUGUCCCGGUCCGGUAACGCAGGGCAGCCUGGAUCUCUUGCUUUCUUAUGACCCCAUCCCCAAAUACACCCUCUCAGCUCUAUUGGAACAAACCCAAAGUGCGGUAUCAUCAGUUCUAAACCGAAGGCCUGUUUCCUGACUUUCUAUGGAGAACUGUGUGACUUUGUAAUUAGGAAAAAGGCACAAUUUUUGCUUUUAACUGACAAGUGGUAAUUGUGUAUAUUUGUGAGGUACAGUGUGAUGGCUGCACGUACACACGCAUUACAGAAGGAUCCAGUCAAGACAGUUAUCAUAGCCAGACCUUGCAUUCACACCUUCCUGUGGUCUGUGGUGAAGAAUCUAUUUUGGCAGUGUGGGAAUGGACGAGGCACUGUUAGCUGUGGUCACCACAAAGAGCAGAGCGCUGGACUCACUGCCCAGCCUGCCUCGGACCCUGCCCGAGUGACCACACCUGCUGUCCCCACCUCUCCCUCCUGGGGCCUGUGUGCAGCACCUUUCUGUUCUCCCUUUCCAUGAGGCCCACAUAUAAGAGAGACUAUGUACUACAGUGGAGCCUCGAGUUAUGACUGACCCGACAUACGAACAACCUGGGUCAUGACUGGAAUCUUAGUUUUAACUUAUGACCAGAGUCAUGAGUUAUGACCCAGAUGGUCUCAGAUACAGAUUUAACCCCUAAAGAGUCCUGGAAGGAACAUGACAACAUCCUUACCUGUGUGGGGUUGAGAAAUCCUGGCCCAGUGUCUCUCUAAGGACACUGGGAUCUGCCAGGAGACAGACUCUGAAGGCUGUGUAGAGGAGCCUGAGGCUUCACCGAUGAACUUGAGUCACAACCAGUCCUCGGGAACAAAUUGAGUUUGUAAGUCAAGGGUCCACAGUAUUUGUCUUUCUGCUCCUGGCUGACUUCACUUAGUGUAACGCCCAACAGUUCAGUCCAUGCGGUUGCUGAUGAGAGCACUGCCUUCUUUUUCAGGGCUGUAUGAUACUCCUCCGUGUGUGUGUGUGUGUGUGUGUGUACGUAUCCUCUUUACCUGCUCCUCCAUUCAUGGGCGCCUAGGUUGCUUCUGUGUCUUCAGUAUUGUGAACUACGAUGAAGAAAGUAGGGAAAUCUUAACAUGAACAUUAAAAAGUCUUCCCGGGCCGGGGAUUUAGCUCAGUGGUUCUGGCACCUGCCUUGCAAGGACAAGGUCCC